AACGAACGCUGGCGGCAUGCCUAACACAUGCAAGUCGAACGACACCAUCGGAUCUAGUUGCGCACGCGUGCGUCACGCGUGGGAAGCUGCCCUUAUGUUCCGAAUAACACCUCUAAGGGGGUGCUAAUACCGGGUAAUGUCUUCGGACAAAAGAUUUAUCGCAUUUGGAUGGGCCCGAGUUGUAUUAGCUGGUUGGGAGUGUAAAAGCCUACCAAGGAGAGGAUCCAUAGCUGGUCAGAGAGGAAGGUUAGCAACACUGAGACGGGGACGCGGCCCAGACUCCUGCGGGAUGCAGCAGAGGGGAAUAUAGGAAAACGGGCGAGGGGAUGAACAAGCAAUGCAGCGUGAGUGAUGAAGGUCUUAGGGAAGGAAAGCACGUUAACCCGGGAGUAUAAUGACGGUACCGGGAGAAUAAGCGCCGGCUAACUCCGUG
rnacentral:rRNA from 1 species